ACGUGUUGGACGCGAACAAACACGCACUCCGUUCCGAAAGCCUGACGAUGUCUUACCAUCCGGGCUGUUGUUGACACGGUAAACCGAGGCGAAAAAAUCGAUUGUGCUCGUGUGAUUAUUUUUGUUUUGGUUUGCGGCUCUCGCCCCCGUAAUCCCCGCGCGGCCUCGGCCACAUGACUCAUGCUAGGCAGCAACAAUGAAAAGCCACAAUAAGUACGUCAAGUUGCCCCAAGACCUCGAUCUGAGUUUCCACAGCGAUUUGGACCUGCUGCCAGACACGGCGGCCGAAAUCGACGUAGAACUAGACGCGGCUGCAGACACAAAUGUGGCUGCGCUCAGUGUAAACGUGCCCGCGUCUCUGGGCCUGGACGAAGACUACGACGACGAGGUAAUCAUCGCCCCUGGCGGCGGAGGCCUUCGACUAGCCCCCACGGCGGCGGAGGCAGUGGCGGCCCGCAGACAGCAGCAGCAGCAACGCAGGCAGCGAAAGAAUCAGCUGGAGCAACAGCAGAACCUGGCCAAGAGCAAGAUCUGCGGCCUGGGCAGCGACAGUGUCAUCGAGACGGGCCUGACCCUCACACCCGAAAUGCUGUUAUCCACCUCGGAAUCAUCGACCCACAGCGCCUCCGAGGUCGCCGGACGACUGCAGGUCGACGUGCGGACUGGUCUCAAAUGGACGGAGGCCAAGUACCGGGCUAAGAUCAUCGGGCACAACGAGCUUCUGCUCGUGGCAGAGGACCCCACCUGGAAGAAGUACAUAGAGCAGUUCAAGAACCCGCUCAUUCUGCUCCUUCUCGGCUCAGCCCUAGUGUCCGUUAUUAUGAAGCAGUUUGACGAUGCCGUAAGCAUAACCAUCGCUAUACUUAUCGUGGUCACGGUGGCCUUCAUCCAGGAGUACCGCUCCGAGAAGAGCCUGGAGGAGCUGAAGAAGCUGGUGCCACCCGAGUGCCACUGCCUGCGCGAAGGUCGUCUGGAUACCUUUCUGGCACGUGAGCUGGUUCCCGGAGAUAUUGUGCACCUCAAUGUGGGCGAUCGGGUGCCCGCCGACGUGCGCCUCUUUGAGGCCGUAGACCUGUCUAUCGACGAGAGCAGCUUCACUGGCGAAACGGAGCCAGCGCGCAAGAUUACCGACUUGCUGCUGAACAACACGAACGUAAAGGACCACAGCAACAUGAAGAACAUUGCCUUCAUGGGUACUUUAGUGCGGUGUGGAAACGGCAAGGGCAUAGUGGUCAGCACUGGAGAGCGGAGCGAGUUCGGCGAAGUCUUCAAGAUGAUGCAGGCAGAGGAGGCUCCAAAGACGCCCCUGCAGAAGUCCAUGGAUAUACUGGGCGCCCAGUUAAGCUUCUACUCUUUCUUGAUUAUUGGCGUCAUAAUGCUGCUUGGCUGGCUACAGGGAAAGCCGCUCUCGGAGAUGUUCAACAUCAGCGUCUCUCUGGCCGUUGCGGCCAUUCCUGAAGGCCUGCCUAUCGUGGUAACAGUAACUCUAGCACUAGGCGUGAUGCGGAUGGCUAAGCGGAAUUCUAUUGUUAAAAAGCUGCCCACUGUAGAGACCCUGGGGUGCGUAAACGUCAUUUGCUCUGACAAGACGGGCACCUUGACCAAGAACGAGAUGACGGCCACGAUUAUUAUUACUUCUGACGGAUACAUGGCGGACGUUACAGGCGCCGGCUACAACGACCAGGGAGAGAUCCACAUUCGCCAUUGCAACAACGUGGAGAUGGCCAAGACCAACAUCACGAACCUUCUAGAGAUCGGGGCGGUCUGCAACAAUGCGUACAUUCAAAAUGGUACGCUGCUAGGCCAGCCCACCGAGGGAGCUCUCGUGGCGGUGGCAAUGAAGAAUGGCAUGUACGCCACUGCCGAGAACUACGUUCGAAUUCAGGAGUACCCCUUCAGCUCGGAACAGAAAAUGAUGGCUGUCAAAUGCAUCCACAAAUACAACAACAAUAAAGAGGAGAUCUUCUUCGCCAAAGGGGCGCUGGAGACGUUGCUGCCGCAGUGCACUAAAUACCAGUUCGGCACCCAGACGGUUCCACUGACCAAGCAGAACGAGGCUGAGUUCCUAGCCGAGGCGUACGAGAUCGGGCGCAAGGGCCUCCGAGUUCUGGCACUGGCCAAGGGCCGAUCCAUGCAGGACCUGGUCUACUGCGGUCUGGUCGGCAUCACUGACCCACCGAGGCCCCUUGUGCGGGAGUCUAUCGAGAUGCUGAUGCAGAGCGGAGUGCGAGUAAAGAUGGUCACUGGAGAUGCACAGGAAACGGCCUUGGCCAUCGCGAAUCUCAUCGGCAUCGAUACAAUACACCACCAGACGCUAUCCGGCCAAGAAAUCGAUCAAAUGAACGAGCACCAACUUGACAAGGUGGCCAACAACGUGAGCGUCUUCUACCGCGUAUCGCCACGCCACAAACUGGAGAUAGUGAAGUCCCUGCAGCGCACCGGGAACAUAGUCGGCAUGACAGGCGACGGAGUGAACGACGGAGUGGCUUUGAAGAAGGCGGACAUCGGCAUUGCAAUGGGAAAAAACGGCACGGAUGUGUGCAAGGAGGCGGCAGACAUGAUUUUGGUCAAUGAUGAUUUCCACACCAUUAUAGCCGCCAUCGAGGAAGGCAAGGGCAUAUUCUACAACAUCCGGAACUUUGUGCGUUUUCAGCUGAGUACAUCUAUAGCAGCCCUGGCCCUCAUAGCCCUGGCUACUCUAAUGGACAUUGCCAACCCGCUGAACGCCAUGCAGAUUCUGUGGAUCAACAUUAUAAUGGACGGUCCGCCGGCACAGUCUCUGGGCGUGGAGCCCGUGGACCAUGACGUGCUGAAGCAAAAACCACGCAACGUUAAGCAGCCCAUGAUCACGAAGUCCGUAGUGGUGAAUGUUCUGCUAAGCGCAAGCAUAAUAGUCCUGGGCACGCUGUGGGUGUUCCAGCGUGAGAUGGCCGACGGGACGCUGGGAAAGACCAAGCGGGACACGACAAUGACCUUCACUUGCUUUGUGUUCUUCGACAUGUUCAAUGCACUAUCCUGCCGCUCGCAGACGAAAAGUGUGUUCACCAUCGGUCUUACCACCAACCGCAUGUUCCUGCUGGCCGUAGCCUUUUCGAUCAUUGGACAAAUGCUGGUCGUCUACUUUCCGCCGCUGCAGAUGGUUUUCCAAACGGAAGCCCUCACACCGUACGACAUCUUCUUUCUGGUCUCUCUCACCUCCUCCGUGCUGGUUGUUUCCGAGAUAAAAAAGUGGUUCGAGCGCACAAUGGAGCGAAAGAUGUACAGCACCCGCUCUGAACUGGACUUCGUAUGACAAAACGCAAGCGCUAGAGAAGAUUUGCACCCCAAAGCCGAGUAAAUUAAAUAACUAAACAAAAAAACCCAUAAAAAAAGUAAAACUAUGCCAAAACAAGCGAGGAGCGUGGCGAAUUUCAGCCAGAGAGAAGCAAAAGCCGGAACAGGAACCAGGAGCAAGGAGCAGCGUGUGUGUGUUUACUUUGACAUUUGACUCGACCAAUUAGCAACAAAUUAACUCACAGUGUGGGUUUUGACCAGAUUGUGCGUAGCAGGGAUUUUCAUAUUUUCGACGUAACCUUCUAGAUCUUACCUCUUCUCCCCGCAGCGAACAAACUGGAUUGUAAAUCAAGUUAUCGGUUUCCUGAAUUCGAUUAAGUUCAGCGAAUGAAUGCUUUCAUCAACUACGUCUCGGCCAAGAUGAAUCGAUACAGAGUGGAUGUGGGUCAAAGUGGGUGUGGAGAGAUGGAAGCUAAGCAAGGCGUAGUGAAAUUAAACAUGGUUUUUUUUGUAACAUUGAUAAAUAAUUUAUUCGGUAUUUGAAAAGCAAGCAAUCAGUUUUUGUAAAGCAAAUCUGAGCUCUAGCGCGUUAGCAGAUAAACAAUUUUGACAAAAUCACCUCUGUUUUAUCAAUAAAUGGAGAGUGAAGAUGGAUCGACAAAAGAUUUUUAGAAACUAAAAGCAUUUUAUUUCAUAUUUAAAGAUUUCAUGCGUUGAUAGUUAGUGUUGUUUCGGAUAAACUCACUUUCUGUCACAAUAAAUAAAGCACCUUACCAAAUGAAAAAUCUCACCAGAAAAACAGCACCAGAUUACUCAAAUGUAAAGUAAUUUACGAAACUACGUUUGUAUAUUUAGUUGAAAUGGUAUUCAUGAUAGUAUGGAUCAUUCAAUUAACAAAAUUGCAAUAUCAGGGUUGAAUGUAAAACAGAUGCAGCACGUUAAAUAAAAGACAAAACAAAUAAAUUUGCGAAUCAAGAGAGUUGUAGUCAACAUUAGGCAUCUCAAGAGAAUAUAAAUGCAUUUUAAAUAUAUUAAACGGAAUAUUACUCAAUAGAAUACCAUGAGUUGACUCAAUUAUUUACUUAAACUCUACAAAUAUCAAAGACAUUCUAUUCAUAUCAUAACUCAGAAGUCUAAGACCCAUGAAGCGCAUUUCACUUACGACUAUAUAGAACACAUUUCACUAAUUCACUAAGGCAUAUCACAUAAUUUGUCGGUCUGUUUUCGAUCAACCAACCUCUGCUGCAAAGACAUCUUCAUAGUCUUCAUUAUUUUGUUGAAUGUGAUUUAUCUUUUCGCCGCUGAUUGCAAAUAAUGGACCAAUCAAUGAAUUAUUUACUUGAUCACACACAUUAAGAUCAGACUAGCUCUACACUGACGCACCCUCAUAUAUCAAGGCAAGAAAAAUUAAAAAAAAAAAUGAAAAAUGUAGAAACCAAAAAAUAUGAAAAAAAUAUAUAAUAAUUUAAUGAAAAGAGGCUCUUUAAACAGAGCAAGCAAUCAAAGGCUCAUUACAAUAACCACGCAUGAAGGCAUACUAAAAGCAAAUCAUACAAAAACACACAGAACUACACCCACACAAUUCACUGACAUCUCAUCCACAAUGGUAACAAUAAUUAGGAACUUAAGCAUAUUUAUUAAUAGUAAAAAGUACAUGAAUGUCUGAAGGAAUAAUAUAAAUUGCACCAAACAUUAUGAAAAUAUUAGUGAAAACAGGUAUACCUUAAUUUAUGGAACUUAAACUACACUACUCACAGUUUAGUAUACGUGGAGUCCGAAAUCGGUCCUUGCGAUACACAAUAAUUUAUAAUGAUCGAUUAUACUAAUACUAAACGAAUUCUUAACCAAAGAAAAUGCAUUCAACGUCUAUGAAUAAAUGUGUGCCCCUUAAAUAUGUAAGUGUAAAUGUUUACCAAUCCCGGUUAAAUCUGUAUCUCCUAAAUAUGUUGCAUACUUUCAGCAUCUUCGAAAAACAGUUUCAAUAGAGUCCGCUUAAAAGGAAUGUACAAACUAAAGACAAGCUUACACUUUCGUUCAACACUCUUUAAAAACCUUACCCAAAGAAAUUAACUAUAACUAUCUGUGCUAUUAAAUGUAAGCUUUAAGAAUAUAUAUAUAUAUAUAGAUAAAUACCGAGCAUAAUGAAAACAUUCAUACAUAUUUCGGAAGUAUUUGGUACUCUGCACUAGACACUAUUGAAUUUAAACUUUCAUUAUUGUGUUUUAUGAAUGCCACCUUUUACCAAAGUAAAUACGAGAAUUAUCUUAACUCAAUUCAUGAUUUCGUAAAUCGAAUAACAAUGGGGCAAAAUCUUAAAUGUAAAACGAAUUAUGCAAUGGUAACAAUACUAAUAUAUUUAAUAUUUAUCUGCGAAAUAUCGCGAAACAAAUAUUUACUAAAUAUAAUAAACUUUAUGUAGUACAUAA